CGACGAAGAAGGGCUAUUAAAAGUGAACACGCGAGGGUUUCCGUCCUCUUGGAAGAGAAGUAGCCCACGUGUGAGUGACCUGCGGUCAGCAGAGCUCUUCAGCAUGGCUUUCUACCUCCUCUGCUCCGCGACCUCUCUUGAAGGACCACGUGGCUUUGGAUGACUAGCACUCAGCCUGCUGGGCCUCUUGGAGAGACUGUCUACACAAAUGAGGGCUGUUUCACAUGAAGGUGCGUGUUUGCACCAUGGGCUGGGCUGUGGCCAAGGGUGACGAUACCCGAGGUCAGUAGCGUUGAUGUUUGGAUGAGUAGUUGCACUCGGCUUGCCGGGCCUGUUGGAGAACCCAUCUACACAAUAGAUGAGGGCUACUUCCAAUGAAGGUGCCUGUUUGCAGCAUGGACAGGGCUGUGGCCACUGGUAACCGUACCUGAGGUGAUUAGCAUCGUUUAGAAGACUAGUAGCGCUCUGCCUGCUGGGCCUUUUAGAGAACCCAUCUAUGCAAUAGAUGAGGGCUGCUUCAAAUGAAGGUUCCUGUUUUGAAAGGCUGUGGCUGGAGGCACGCAAUGCAGGAGGUUUAUCGGAGUGCCUCCUUUGACUGAUGCAUCCAGUUAAUGGUGGGGGUUCCUGAAGCAAGAUGGGAACCAAGCUGUGUUGCUGGUGAAGAAGACUCUUGGUUUACCAGAAAAACGACAAACACGUAGCCCUUUUUAGCAUAGACAACACUUGAAUGCGUUGUUCAGUGUAAUACUUAAAAUGACCCAUGUCUUUAUGAAAUAAAUUGUCACUGUACGUAA